UAUAGGCUGCGGGCGGGGCGGGGGCGGCGGCGCUUGAAGGUGACGGAGCACGCGGGAGGAUGGCGGCGAUGCUGGGGCAGCGGCGCGCGGCCGCCGAGCUGCUGCGGGCUUUGAAGUGUACAAGCCGUGACUAUGCAUCACAACAUACUUUAAAUGAAGUGGUGAUAGCAAGUGCUGCAAGGACACCAAUUGGAUCUUUCCAAGGAUCCCUUUCAUCAUUGCCAGCCACUAAACUUGGUUCCAUUGCAAUUAAAGGAGCAAUUGACAGAGCAGGUAUCCCCGCAGAAGAAGUGAAAGAAGUGUAUAUGGGUAACGUCCUGCAGGCUGGACAAGGACAAGCUCCAGCAAGACAAGCAGUACUGGGUGCAGGUCUACCAAUCUGUACUCCUACUACAACUGUCAAUAAAGUCUGUGCUUCAGGAAUGAAAUCUAUCAUGAUGGCAGCACAAAGCCUAAUGUGUGGGAGUCAGGAUGUAAUGGUUGCUGGUGGAAUGGAGAGCAUGUCUAAUGUUCCCUAUACAAUGAGCAGAGGAACAACACCUUAUGGAGGAGUAAAACUGGAAGAUCUGAUAGUAAAAGAUGGGCUUACAGAUGUUUAUAACCAUAUCCAUAUGGGUAACUGUGCUGAGAAUACUGCUAAGAAGCUUACCAUCUCACGAGAGGAACAAGACACUUAUGCCAUAGGCUCUUACACUAAGAGCAAAACAGCCUGGGAAUCGGGAAUACUGAAAAAUGAAAUAGUUCCUGUCACUGUUUCACAAAAAGGAAAGCCAGAUACAGAAGUGAAAGAAGAUGAAGAAUACAAACGUGUUGAUUUUAGUAAAGUUCCAAAGCUCAAGGCUGUUUUCCAGAAAGAAAAUGGAACAGUUACAGCUGCUAAUGCCAGUACUCUGAAUGAUGGAGCAGCUGCUGUGGUUGUGAUGACUACAGAGGCAGCCAAGAGGCUGAAAGUUAAACCAUUGGCACGAAUAGUAGCUUUUGCAGAUGCUGCUGUUGACCCUAUCGACUUUCCAAUUGCACCUGCGUAUGCUGUUCCCAAGAUUCUAAGUAAGGCAGGACUGAAAAAAGAAGAUAUUGCAAUGUGGGAAAUCAAUGAAGCAUUCAGUGUCGUGGUGCUGGCCAAUAUUAAAAUGCUGGGUAUUGAUGCACAAAAAGUGAAUAUUAAUGGAGGUGCUGUCUCUCUUGGACAUCCAAUAGGAAUGUCUGGAGCAAGAAUUGUUGUCCACAUGGCCCAUGCAUUGAAACAAGGACAAUACGGUCUUGCAGGAAUUUGCAAUGGAGGAGGGGGUGCUUCUGCAAUACUGAUACAAAAGUUGUAAGCCCAACCAGCUGUUGGAACCAAAGCCUUAAAGCCUCUUUGAUCAGAAUGAUGAAUGGUCUUGAAUCAGAAGUAGAUAUUUGCCCAAAUGACACCCUCAAUCUGUGCACCUCUGGAACUGGAGUCAAGUGUUUUUCUUCUGAAAGCCUAAGUGUGCUGAUAAUUCACUUAUUUCAUAUUACCAGAUUAACUGAACUGAAAAUGUCAAGACUAUGGUAGAUACUAGCUGUCCAAUGAAAGCACUACAUUAUGUCUGAAAUAAACAGCACAUCUGUUUAAAAACA